rnacentral:lncRNA from 1 species
AGCUCUUGAUCACUUAUCAGUUCUGCUCAUAGCAUUUAGUAGUAUAAUUUCACUUUAGUUCAAUUCUUUUACUAUCCUUAGUUGUACUAACUGAUACAUUAACCGUAUAUCAAUGAUAACAAAAUGUAGUCAAAGAAAACACAUUUCAAAGCCACCACACAUUAAUUGUUCAAAAAGGCCUGUGAUACAAAAUGAUUCUCUUUAUUGUAUCAAUGUAAUUAUUGGUGUCACCAUUUUUAUCAUUUCCUUCUUAUGUCAAUCGCAAUUCCUUUUCUUUUAUUUAAGACAGAGUCUCACUCUGUCUUCCAGGUUGGAGUGCAGUGGCGUGAUCUUGGCUCACUGCAGCCUUGACCUCCCGGACUCAAGUGAUCCUCCCACAUCCACCCCCUCAGUAGCUGGGACUACAGGCAUGGACCACCAUGGCCAGCUAAUUUUUGUAUUUUUUGUAGAGAUGAGGUCUCCCUAUAUUGCCCAGGCUAAUUGCAAUUUCACUUCUUCACAUCUAAUCACCCAUUCAGAUGUGCUGCUGCUGCCUGAGAGUGACAUUUUGUAAAUGUAGUCUGACUAUUUGUAUACAUCUCUGUUUAUUGAUGAGGAUCCUAUUUUAGUAUUAAUCAGCACAAUUGGCCUCCAAUAAAUUAAC